GCGCCCGGCCCCGGGAGCGCUGGCUCGCCCUGUUGUGAGCUACACCGCGCUCCGCAGCCCCCGGCAGGGCUGGCUGGGGGAGGCCGGGACGGGUGCGCCCCUCCGCACAGGGCUGGGAUACCGGGAAAGCUGCCAUCAAGUGAGGAGUGACGAUAAACUUGGCUAAGAAGCGAUCUGAUCUCGUAGGGAGCUCUUCAUUUCUUUGAACUUCACGUUUCAUUUUGGGAGCUCCCAGGCAGGGGCACUGCGAACCACCCCACAUCCAGCAGGAUUCGCUGAAUGCCGGGCAAACGCAGCCUUCGCGGUAGUCAGAAUAACUGUGAAGGAAGGUCCAAAAAUUUGUACAGGCAAAGAAGAAAUCAGAACAUUGACUUCAACAAAGAUUAGUCUCUGCAAAACAGAAGAAGAGGAGUUAAGGCCUGCACACCAGGGCAGAAUUAAGAUACCUCAAAUACCAAGCCUGCUCUUCAGGCUGGCAAUAGCCAUUGGGAAAUGUGCACAGGUGUUCCUGCUGCAUUCACUGCAUCACUUGUUCUUCUAAUAAGUGGGGGGAGGAAGCAGCUGGGUUGCAUAGCAGAAAUACGUUCAUGCUGGGAAGCCAACUGGUGGAAAGGCACCUUUGGGUGGGGAAGUGUGAGUUUACCUGGCCUUGAGGAAGAGAGGACCAGUAUGUCUUGUUUCAGAGCUGCAUAUUGAAGGUCAUGUCCUCAGUGGAGCAAAGGAUUUUUUUUUAUUUUUUUUUUUUUAUCCUGGAAAUUGCCAGCUGGGAUGAUGGGGGUGAGUGUGAUGUGUACUUAAGACUAUGUAAAUGAGAUAUUUGGUGGUAACCUGCAUAGAGCCAGCAACUGUGCUCCUCCUGUUGAGUGUGUUAAGAA